GAGGGUGUAGCUCAGUGGUAGAGUGCAUGCCUAGCAUGCACGAGGUCCUGUGUUCAAUCCCCAGUGCCUCCA
rnacentral:tRNA from 1 species